CUUGGUCAUUUAGAGGAAGUAAAAGUCGUAACAAGGUUUCCGUAGGUGAACCUGCGGAAGGAUCAUUACCGAGUGUAGGGUUCCUAGCGAGCCCAACCUCCCACCCGUGUUUACUGUACCUUAGUUGCUUCGGCGGGCCCGCCAUUCAUGGCCGCCGGGGGCUCUCAGCCCCGGGCCCGCGCCCGCCGGAGACACCACGAACUCUGUCUGAUCUAGUGAAGUCUGAGUUGAUUGUAUCGCAAUCAGUUAAAACUUUCAACAAUGGAUCUCCUGGUUCCGGCAUCGAUGAAGAACGCAGCGAAAUGCGAUAACUAGUGUGAAUUGCAGAAUUCCGUGAAUCAUCGAGUCUUUGAACGCACAUUGCGCCCCCUGGUAUUCCGGGGGGCAUGCCUGUCCGAGCGUCAUUGCUGCCCAUCAAGCACGGCUUGUGUGUUGGGUCGUCGUCCCCUCUCCGGGGGGGACGGGCCCCAAAGGCAGCGGCGGCACCGCGUCCGAUCCUCGAGCGUAUGGGGCUUUGUCACCCGCUCUGUAGGCCCGGCCGGCGCUUGCCGAACGCAAAUCAAUCUUUUCCAGGUUGACCUCGGAUCAGGUAGGGAUACCCGCUGAACUUAAGCAUAUCAAUAAGCGGAGGAAAGGAAACCAACCGGGAUUGCCUCAGUAACGGCGAGUGAAGCGGCAAGAGCUCAAAUUUGAAAGCUGGCUCCUUCGGGGUCCGCAUUGUAAUUUGCAGAGGAUGCUUCGGGUGCGGCCCCUGUCUAAGUGCCCUGGAACGGGCCGUCAGAGAGGGUGAGAAUCCCGUCUGGGAUGGGGUGUCCGCGCCCGUGUGAAGCUCCUUCGACGAGUCGAGUUGUUUGGGAAU
rnacentral:sRNA from 1 species